AGGUGGGAUAACAACAGAACAACCUUCUACAUGGCCUGCUACAACAGUUCCAUCAGCAACACAAGGACCAUUUUUUCCUGUUGGACCUGGAGCAACAGCUGGUCCCUAUAGUGAUGGACAAUACGCAACAAUUCAGUUGGCACACCCAUUUAAUUAUGGUGGAAACACAUACU